CAAGGCGUAUCCGUCAUCGAUAGGGACACUUUAGGUCAUAUGCGAUGAUUAUAGAGAGAUUUUAUUCGUUUUGCUGGUGGCUAUCUUGUUUUCUGCAAAGUCAUUUCAGCAGGUAGGGAUGAAUCAAGCACUGAUAAAAAAAA